rnacentral:tRNA from 1 species
GGGACGGUGGAAUAACGGUUAGCAUAGCUGCCUUCCAAGCAGUUGACCCGGGUUCGACUCCCGGCCGACGCA